rnacentral:rRNA from 1 species
GAUGAACGCUGGCGGCGUGCCUAAUACAUGCAAGUCGAGCGAACAGACGAGGAGCUUGCUCCUCUGACGUUAGCGGCGGACGGGUGAGUAACACGUGGAUCACCUACCUAUAAGACUGGUAUAACUUCGGGAAACCGGUGCUAAUACCGGAUAAUAUAUUGAACCGCAUGGUUCAAUAGUGACAGACGGUUUUGCUGUCACUUCUAGAUGUAUCCGCGCGGCAUUAGCUAGUUGGUACGGUAACGGCUUACCAUGGCAACGCUGCGUAGCCGACCUGCGAGGGUGAUCGGCCACACUGGAACUGAGACACGGUCCAGGCUCCUACGGGAGGCAGCAGUAGGGAAUCUACCGCAAUGGGCGAAAGCUUGACGGAGCAACGCCGCGUGAGUGAUGAAGGGCUUCGGAUCGUAAAACUCUGUUAGUAGGGAAGAACAAAUGUGGAAGGAACGAUGCACGUCUUGACGGUACCUAAACAGAAAGCCACGGCUAACUACGUG